AGCUCAAUCUCAAUUUCUCGCUCUAUCUCUAUGAAGGACCCUAUCUCUCGGGCUAUCGAUUUCUCAGCCCAGCCCAAGCUCGAUUUCUCGCUCUAUCUCUACGAAGGACUCUAUCUAUCGGGCUAUCGAUUUCUCAUUAACCAUGCUCCCAAAGCCCGAGCUCAAUCUCUUAGCCCCAAAUCAGCCCCAUCAAAGGUUGAAAGAUGCCCAUAAUCAAUGCCAUUGAACACUCUCUUGACAUGGACACGAUUUUUUUAGUCCGGCACUAAAGUCACUGGAAUUGGCCCGGUCCAGCGUUUUAAAUGGGCUAUCUGACACCUCAAGUAGCCAGUUCGACAGUUCCAGGAGGCAAUCCAGCAUUGAAGUCACUGCAACUCGUCGAUCCGGUGUUUGGAAGGGGCAGUUCGACACUGAAGUCACUAUAAAUGGUGCAGUCCGGCAUUGAAGUCACCAAAAUUAGCCCGGUCCGGUGUUUCAAAGGGGUAGUCUGGCACUUCAAGCAGCCAGUCCGGCAGUUCUAAGAGGCAAUCCGACACUGAGGUCACUACAACUCACCAGUUCGGUGUUUGGAGGGAUAGUUCGACACUGAAGUCACUGUAAAAUGGUGCAGUUCGACAUUUGGACGGAGCAGUCCGGCAUUGAAGUCAUUGGAAUUGGCCCAGUCCGGCUUUACGAAGGGGCAGUCCGGCACUUCAAGCAGCCAGUCCGACAGUUCCAGGAGGCAAUCGAACACUGAGGUCACUGGAACUCACCAGUCUGGCGUUUGGAAGGGGCAAUCCGGCACUAAAGUCACUGUAAAUGGUGCAGUUCAGCGUUUGGAAGGGGCAGUCCGGCUUUACGAAGGGGCAAUCUGGCACUAAAGUCACU